rnacentral:lncRNA from 1 species
UGUAAAUCUUACUUGCUUUCUUCUACUCCUUUAAAGUUACAAUUAAGCAUGACCGGGAGCCACAGUAGUAGAUCUUGAGGGGUUCCUAACACCUUCCUUGAGAUAAUCUCAAGCCUUUACCUGAACUCUGGUUUGCUUUCAAAUCUUCUUCUUUUAUUUAAAGUGUCCUAAUGCACUAUAAUCAUUAGGUGGCGACUUUUCAAAUUCCAUAACCCGAUUCCUCAAAAGGGAAUAAGAGUUGUUUUGUCCAUAAUGUUGUAAACCUGAUUUUUCUUUCUUUUUGGGGAAAAAGGGGCGUCGAUAGAAUGACGACUCUGUUGGGGACUUCUUUAAGGCUUUUACCAUUACGUACUUUUGUGACUUUAUUACUUUCUUAAUUGCCUUUAAUUAUUUCAUCAUGAAUAGUAACUUGGCUUUUCAUGUUUUUCCUUUCUUUUAAUUUCUUCAUUUACAGUC